GAAUCUCCAGGUGUGUUGAAGUGGAGUUCGGUAGUUACUGGUGGUUCUGGUGUGACGUCAUCGGUGAUUAACCUGAAAACUAACAACCUGUCUCCUCUGGAUCAGACACACACACACAGCUCUGACACACCUGCGGACAGGUGUUCACCUUCACUGCUGUUUGGAGGACAGGUGUCAGCUCAGAGCAGCCCCAGCUCAUGUAAGACUCGGGCCUGGAUCAGCUCCCGACAGGACCAGGACCAGGACCAGGACCAGGACCAGGACCACCCUCAGCACCUCCUCCACCCCCAGCACAUGACUUGAAAUCAUUACCUUCCCAAACACCUUGUGGUCAUUUUAUUCUCCAAACACUCAGAAUUUCAGCUCUCAAACGCUCGGAGGUGAUUCUAGAGUACAAACGCCUCACGGUCACUGUAGUUCCCAGAUGUUUCACAGUCGUCUCACUUCCUGAAUGUCCGGGGUUCAUUUUACUCACCAAACAUCUCGCAAUCAUUAUAAACAUGAUUAUUCUAGUCACAGGAGGUCUCACAAUCAUUCUAACACCCUGCGAUCACCCAGACCCUGCGCUACACGCCCCUUCCAGUUCCUGGACACCAUCCGUCAUCUGGUUCAUCACCAUCUUCGCCUUUGUCGCUGUAACUUUCACACAAACAACGGCGUUUCAUCAGCUGGUCAGUCGAUCGUUAAUUAAUGGAGUGAACUUUACAAACGUUCUGCGUUAGCGGCCGGCUAAUUACAGAACACGCCUGUCGUUUCACUGUAGAUUUAUUAUCAUGUUCAGCAUGUUGAAGUGACAUUUUAAGGAUUUGGGAACUUUAUUAACAAAACAAAGUAAAAAAUUAUUAAAAUGACUUUUUGGGGAAAAAUAUUGUGUUCUUCUUGAGAAUUAAAAAAAAAAAAAA